UCUAUACUGGAAAAUCUAAGUUAAGGACCUUGUGAUGGUUAAGUCUAUGUGUCAACUUGACUGCACCCCAUAUUCCUUUAACAUUAUUCUGGAAGUCGCGUGAAUAAAUGUCCAUGGGUCAAGAGAGAAAAGAUGGACCCCUGGAGUACCAAGACACCCAACCACUUUCCAUGAAGGAGAAGAGAUCUUGAACCACAAAGGGGCAUGGCAGACUGGUCUAGAGGGCACAGCAGGAGAAGGAGAAUGCUUUGGCUUUUCAACCUUGUCUUCAGGAUGUUCUACUUCCCUCAAAAGUCCUACCCUCAAACAGCAAACCUCCAGCAGGAGCAGGCAGAGGCAUCCCCACUGUCCAGUUUCACAGCAAUGAUCAGGAGAACUUCUGGGGUCAACUUCUAACUUCUAUUCAGCAAUUUCAAAGACCGGCCAGAUAAGAGAACUUUAUUAACUCCUUUAUCAAC